rnacentral:rRNA from 1 species
UGGGGAAUCUUCCGCAAUGGGCGAAAGCCUGACGGAGCAACGCCGCGUGAGUGAUGACGGCCUUCGGGUUGUAAAGCUCUGUGAUCGGGGACGAACGGUCCGUAAGCUAAUACCUUAUGGAAGUGACGGUACCCGAAUAGCAAGCCACGGCUAACUACGUGCCAGCAGCCGCGGUAAUACGUAGGUGGCAAGCGUUGUCCGGAAUUAUUGGGCGUAAAGCGCGCGCAGGCGGCUUUUCUAAGUCCAUCUUAAAAGUGCGGGGCUUAACCCCGUGAUGGGAUGGAAACUGGAAAGCUGGAGUAUCGGAGAGGAAAGUGGAAUUCCUAGUGUAGCGG